CAGGGGCUAUUCGGCCUUAGAAAUGCAACUCCAGGUAAUUGUUUAAAGGAGCCCAUUUUCCUAUUCAAGUAGAGUGAAAAGAACUCACACUCCACCUCAGUCCCCAAGCCACUCAGGACCUCAUAAGGCUGGCAAAGGGAAGAGUCCAGUCUGAGAGCAUUGGCCACUUAACUCUAUUCCCAGAAAGUGGGGUCCGACCCAGAGCUCUCCAGAAGGUGAGGUAACAAGACCCAACAAAAAUAUCCUGUGUUCUCUUCACCACCUGUCUCCGCAAGCGAGUAACAAGACGAAGUGUUAAAGAGAGACACCACCAGUAAUCAGAAUGUGGUAACUAAAUGAGGCUUGUGUCUUCCACUUAAAAUGUGCAAGCUGGUCUGGUUCCUCAGCCUCUCUGAACCUGCUUCCUCAACUGUCUAAACAGAAAAGCAACCUCCACCUCCUGGGACUGGUGAAAGGAUGAAAUGAGAGAAUUCUGUUCAACGGUGUCUGGGACAUUAGCUGCUGCUUUUAGUUCAAGAAGCCCAGUGCAGCCUAUGCCGGAAUAAGCAUUAAUUGCUCCAAAAGAACACUCUGUACAGCAAAGGCAGCCCUUUCCUAGACCACAGACCACACCACUCCAACAUGGGCCACAGAGCGAAACUGAACUUCAACACCCUUACAGGGAAGUCCUGGACAGCUGCACCCAUUGUUCUGGCCAAGAGUUCUCUUGCUCUUAGAGAGAAGUCUCGCCCCUGAAAGGAAGGCUGAGGUUCCCUAGGGGAGUCUGCUCUGUCCUCAGGAGCUGGGUAAGUACACGGAGAGGUGAGUCCGAACGGUGAGAAGACAUUUUAGACUAGGACUCGGUGACCUUGGGCUGCCUGUCUAGAGUCCCAGUCCCAGUCCCAGCCCUAGGCCAGACUUCAGCCCUAGGCUGGGAGCCUUUCAUUGGUUCCUCUGACAACAGCCAAGCACAAUCCUAUAGUGGCGUAGGAAGAAAAAGUCUGCCACACAAUCUCCCCGUGAGGCCAGAACAGCGGCAAGACAGACGUUACAAGGGACUCAGGGCCAAGCCUCUGCUCUAAUCUACGCAUCAAAGCCACCCCCUGCCCCGGACUUCCCGGAGGCUACAGGCUCCUCCGUUCCAGGGAGGAGCAAGGCCUGCCGCGAGGGCUCUCCG
rnacentral:lncRNA from 1 species